UACAGAGGGUGCGAGCGUUAAUCGGAUUUACUGGGCGUAAAGCGCACGCAGGCGGUCUGCCUAGUCGGAUGUGAAAUCCCCGGGCUCAACCUGGGAACUGCAUCCGAAACUGGCAGGCUAGAGUCUUGUAGAGGGGGGUAGAAUUCCAGGUGUAGCGGUGAAAUGCGUAGAGAUCUGGAGGAAUACCGGUGGCGAAGGCGGCCCCCUGGACAAAGACUGACGCUCAGGUGCGAAAGCGUGGGUAGCGAACGGG
rnacentral:misc_RNA from 1 species